AAUGGAAACCCCACCUGCUGUCUUCUUGGUGUUUUUGUUCCUUGUCUUUAAGACCUGGUCUCAAAUUCAGAAGUUCAAUACCAGCGUCAGUUUGACUUGACACAAUCUAUGGUUGUAGUGUAUUGAUUUCACAAAUUGAACCUAUGAAAUGAAACUCUGUCAUCAAGAAGCUAUUGGACACCUAUAUGGACAUGCAUUUACCUCUCUGCCCAGUGCAAUUAUUUAUAAAUGUCUGUGGAAGAAUAGAGAGAGGAGGGAGGAAAGGAAGAAUAGAUUAUUCUGUGUCUUUCAGGAAGAGAGAGACAAGAAAAGAGAAAAUAUGAAAAACACUAGAGCAACACCUAACUCUUGAUUCCUGGGUUAGAGAAGGCUUUUUGUGAGAAGCCUAACACUAGAAGGCUAUGAAGGAGUUUGCCGGCAGCUCUGUGGAGUAAAGAUAGAAGAGCAAGCACAGAGACAAGGAGGCCAGUAAAGAAGCUGAUGUGUUGAGUGAUGGAGGCUGGAAAUAAGGCCAAGUCAAUGGGAAGAGAAAGGAAGGAGAUCAUUCAAGAGAUGCUAUGGAGAGAAAUACUCAACCUGAAGGCCAACGUGGCAUCAGAGCUAAAGGAGAGGACACUGCUUGGAAUGAGUCCCAGAUUCCUGACUUGGGCCAAGGAGUAACU
rnacentral:lncRNA from 10 species